rnacentral:rRNA from 1 species
AUUGAACGCUGGCGGCAUGCUUUACACAUGCAAGUCGAACGGUAACAGGCCGCAAGGUGCUGACGAGUGGCGAACGGGUGAGUAAUGCAUCGGAACGUGCCCAGUCGUGGGGGAUAACUGCUCGAAAGAGCAGCUAAUACCGCAUACGAUCUAUGGAUGAAAGCGGGGGACCGUAAGGCCUCGCGCGAUUGGAGCGGCCGAUGUCGGAUUAGGUAGUUGGUGGGGUAAAGGCUAACCAAGCAAACGAUCUGUAGCUGGUCUGAGAGGACGACCAGCCACACUGGGACUGAGACACGACCCAGACUCCUACGGGAGGCAGCAGUGGGGAAUUUUGGACAAUGGGGGCAACCCUGAUCCAGCAAUGCCGCGUGCAGGAAGAAGGCCUUCGGGUUGUAAACUGCUUUUGUACGGAACGAAACGGUCUGGGUUAAUACCCUGGGCUAAUGACGGUACCGUAAGAAUAAGCACCGGCUAACUACGUGCCAGCCGCCGCCGUAAUAC